rnacentral:rRNA from 1 species
CGGGAUCCCUGGCAGCUUGCUGCCGGGGUGAGAGUGGCGAACGGGUGAGUAAUGCGUGACCGACCUGCCCCAUGCACCGGAAUAGCUCCUGGAAACGGGUGGUAAUGCCGGAUGUUCCACAUGAGCGCAUGCGAGUGUGGGAAAGGCUUUUGCGGCAUGGGAUGGGGUCGCGUCCUAUCAGCUUGUUGGUGGGGUAACGGCCUACCAAGGCGUUGACGGGUAGCCGGCCUGAGAGGGCGACCGGCCACAUUGGGACUGAGAUACGGCCCAGACUCCUACGGGAGGCAGCAGUGGGGAAUAUUGCACAAUGGGCGCAAGCCUGAUGCAGCGACGCCGCGUGCGGGAUGGAGGCCUUCGGGUUGUAAACCGCUUUUGUUCAAGGGCAAGGCAGGUUUUUGGCCUGUUGAGUGGAUUGUUCGAAUAAGCACCGGCUAACUACGUGCCAGCAGCCGCGGUAAUACGUAGGGUGCAAGCGUUAUCCGGAUUUAUUGGGCGUAAAGGGCUCGUAGGCGGUUCGUCGCGUCCGGUGUGAAAGUCCAUCGCUUAACGGUGGAUCCGCGCCGGGUACGGGCGGGCUUGAGUGCGGUAGGGGAGACUGGAAUUCCCGGUGUAACGGUGGAAUGUGUAGAUAUCGGGAAGAACACCAAUGGCGAAGGCAGGUCU